CCCUACCCAAUAUAUUUACCAGCCAUUUUCACCAGCUCCUAGUCAGAUCAUCUGUUCAUGAGUCUGCUCAUGGUCCUGUGCUUAUUCCAGUUACCAGUGUGUUUUUCCUGUACCUCAGCCCACCUGUCUAACUUUCUCUUCAUACAGCUGAUAUCUGCUACCUUUUGGUCAUUCUGUUUUCGCUGAAGUCUCCAUAGUCACUUAUGGAGGGAAACCCAACCCUCUGCUCAAUCCAUUGGGCAACACUGAGCAACUUCUUCUCUUGGACAGCAGGACCUAUGAGUUGUAAGCCGAUGGGAAGGCCUCGUCUUGAUAAUGCAGUUGGCACUGAAACAGCAGGGAGACCUGGGGUGAAAGAGUUGAAGAAGAUUAAUGGAAAACAAAUUAUAAGGAUCUUAAGGUUAGAUGUUAGUUUGGAGAGUGAUAAAAGGAGGGAAAAGGUUUAACUGAAUGUAAAAACUCCUUUAAGUCUCUGUGCUGAAAUUAUUAUGAGGUUGAAGGCUAUGGUAUUUGUCUUCAGACAUUAAAGUAAAAAGAACUGCUUUUACUCACA